rnacentral:rRNA from 1 species
GUCUACCACCGGGAUGUUCAUAACCCUUUGUUGUCCGACUCUGUUGCCUCCGGGGCGACCCUGCCUUCGGGCGGGGGCUCCGGGUGGACACUUCAAACUCUUGCGUAACUUUGCAGUCUGAGUAAACUUAAUUAAUAAAUUAAAACUUUUAACAACGGAUCUCUUGGUUCUGGCAUCGAUGAAGAACGCAGCGAAAUGCGAUAAGUAAUGUGAAUUGCAGAAUUCAGUGAAUCAUCGAAUCUUUGAACGCACAUUGCGCCCCCUGGUAUUCCGGGGGGCAUGCCUGUUCGAGCGUCAUUUCACCACUCAAGCCUCGCUUGGUAUUGGGCAACGCGGUCCGCCGCGUGCCUCAAAUCGACCGGCUGGGUCUUCUGUCCCCUAAGCGUUGUGGAAACUAUUCGCUAAAGGGUGUUCGGGAGGCUACGCCGUAAAACAACCCCAUUUCUAAGGUUGACCUCGGAUCAGGUAGGGAUACCCGCUGAACUUAAGCAUAUCAAUAAGCGGAGGAAAAGAAACCAACAGGGAUUGCUCUAGUAACGGCGAGUGAAGCAGCAAUAGCUCAAAUUUGAAAUCUGGCGUCUUCGACGUCCGAGUUGUAAUUUGUAGAGGAUGCUUCUGAGUAACCACCGACCUAAGUUCCUUGGAACAGGACGUCAUAGAGGGUGAGAAUCCCGUAUGCGGUCGGAAAGGUGCUCUAUACGUAGCUCCUUCGACGAGUCGAGUUGUUUGGGAAUGCAGCUCUAAAUGGGAGGUAAAUUUCUUCUAAAGCUAAAUAUUGGCCAGAGACCGAUAGCGCACAAGUAGAGUGAUCGAAAGAUG